rnacentral:lncRNA from 1 species
UAUAGGACAAUCAAUGCUCAACAAACUCUUCAGGCAAAAUUGCUGUUGGUCAAACCCAGUCGGCUGAAAAUGAGAAACAGUUCAUUCACAAAGAUCUGAAGAAUGGGGUGAUGUAUCUAACGGAGAAACUGAAGUGGUGGCAGAGAACAAUUCCUUUAUUAUCAAUAAAGUAGUUAUUAACAUCUGCAAUUUCAUGAGGAGAGACUUCAGGCAGGAAGAAAAGGUUUUAUCAAUUCUGCAGGGCAAGCUGCACAAGUUGGGGAAUAACAUAUGAAACUAGGUUCUGUCCUAAUGAGAUUCAUAAUCACUAUAUCAUCCAAAUAAUAGUCUACUUGUAAUCCACAACAAGGUUAUCAUCAUGGAGAGGUGAUGAUGGAUUGGCUGGACAAUCUAAAGCUCAAGUAAGAAUAAAUGACCAUAAUCCAUGGGACAAGAAGUCAAGCACAUAAUGCAAUAUGAUUCUCUUAUUCUAGACCAUAAAUUCUCGAAUGUGCCCAUAUUUGCUUUAUAAGAGGGGGCAGACAUUCUAAUAUGCUUGAGAAUAUCUUAGAUCAAUAUUUUCUCUUUAGCUUUCCUUUUAAUUCAUCUACCAUUUGUCCCGAUGAUGAAAGAAAAGAUAUUACUAUGUCUCCCUCUGCUAAUAAAAACCUACCACAUUUAUUAGUAAGAACUUCUUAAAUGAGAAAUAUCUUUCUCACCUAUGUUUGCAAUUUCAUUUGACUGAACCAAAAUUUUGAAACUACUGCUUUCUUUUUUUUCUUUUGCCGGGUGGUGGGGGGGCAUGCAACUUGUGUUCAUGAUAUAAACACAAGUUCAUAAGCCUUACCAAUUCCUUUCAAAUUUUUUUUUGUAUAUUUUAAUCAGAAAAAAGGGUCUACGAAGCUCGAGGCCCGACCCAAGAUAUGUAAGUACCCGGCUCGGCGCCUGACUAAUUUCACUUUUAUCUUUCGUUGAGCCCUGCCCGAACCUGGCAUGGCCUGCCCAUUGAACAGGUCCAAUAUGCCCCAAAACCAACUAACGGUUUACCAAUAUCGGUAAGCUUUUCACCGAAACACUUCACAUCUUUUUGCUCCUAAAAUGCUGUGCAACUCAUUUUGAUCAGCUCCUGCAUGGGCAAUUAGCUUUCCAUUCACCAAGUAAUAAUGCAUGAGAAAAAUAUCGACCAAAGCAACAAAAGCAAAGCAGCAGGUAUUUCUGCUAUUGAUCUUGGCAAUUAUAAAGUUUUAGGCUUAUACUAUUUCCAUCUACAUUUCUCUAAGCACCUCAACUGGUUCUAUAAACGACCGAAAUGGGUAUACGCUACAUCAGUUCUACUCAAACAAGCCAUAAUCCUUCCAAAGCAUUACAUCAAACGGUUUACAAGCAUUGCGUUCCCAAACUUAAGAGGAAACCCUUGUGGAAAUACAGGAAGAAAAAAGAAAUCACUGCGAUGGAAAAAAAAAAAUCCUCGAUGAAUUAUUAAAAAAGCUUCAGAAUCAGGGAUUUACCUUUCGAUAUGCGCAUCGGAUCGUAAAGAGAGAUCGCUCGCUCGAAGAAAAACCUGUGGCGGUAUGGAUGAGCCCAUCUGCGUCUACAGGUGCUACCGACCUAUCGCGCAGUACCGGAUCCGGUUUCUACUAAGUUUGGACCCGGAUUCACCGAGAACUCCCUUUCUUUAUUUUUUUUCCCCUUUUUGGGGUUGUGGUGGGGGAUCGAGGACACACCAAACUCUUUAUGCACCACGGACGGUGCACGAAACCU